GACACUCGCACAGUCCCCUCCUAUCCUGUGCUCGCUGAUGACCCCCUCAUGCGCCAACCUCCUUCUGCCAUUCCCUGUACUCGGGAACGCCACCUGCUUGCUCCGUCACGCCGCUGCCGCUGGUGCCCCGUGCUCUCCAAGAUCUGCCUCUCGUCGGGGGCCAUCAGCAGCGCCUUCACUGAAUUCCGUGGCUCGGCGCCGCCCCCCUGGACUGGACUCCAGAUGGUGCCGCCUCGGACGAAUCCGGGGAGCUCGACUUCGAUGACGACGACGGCCGUGGCGGCGCGCCGAUGCUACAUGGACGAUGCUCGCUGGCUCUGUCAUCCUGUCCUCGCCUUCGUCCUCAGACUCCGCCACACAGAGGACUGGUCACUGGAUGCAUGAUUUGUUGUGGAGUGUCUAUCGAGCCAAAACCUGUGGCGCAUCUUUGAAGGUCCUGGGAUGCGCACCCCAUGGGUAGUCGUCCAUAGAACAUGUGAGGCCUUGCAACUGGAUUCGUCAAAUCGUGCGUCCAAACAUUUAGAGAGUAAGAGCGUUCAGGCUUAUGGUUUCUGCACCAUGUCAUUGGCGGUGAGGGGUUCCUCGACAGCGGGGAUCUGUACAAAUAGCAAGUUCCUAAGAACAAACGGCAUGCGUCUACAUUGGAAGGCAUCGUCAUAGAAAGGCACAAUGCUGGGAUCGCUACAACUUUCAGAUUGCGUAGAUUAGUAGCUGGCGUGGGAGUUGAGUCGGUUUUUCCACUAAGGAGAGUUGUUGCUUCAGCCUAAAGUGGAGCGGGUACCUGUUAUGCUGAAGCUGGUAUUAUCACAUAUUCACGUUGCAUUUGGUCCUGGCGAUUUUAAUGUGAGGAACACCAAUGUUGGUUGCUUGUAAGCCAUGUCUUGCUGGUGAUAUGAAGGCACAAUUCAAUAGGUAGAAAUGGAUCUGCAGAGCCAACGAGUCUUGCAAAUGGGGUUUACAGGAAAUCACUUGGUCAAGGCGCAUAUGGAAAGGUUAUCAAGGUAAGAUUUAGGCCAUGCUUCAAGGAAAUUUUUGUUUAAAAAUAUAUUAAUACGUGAGUCCACAACAUGUAAAACCUAUCCACACAUUUCUUUCCGUACUAAAAUAUGACAACAAGCCAAACAGAGCAUGUUUGACUGUCAAAUGAUAUCAGCUGAGUUUUCAGAUAAUCGAUUUUGAGUAAAAGUGAAAAGAUUUUUCCAUCAGACCGUUCUAUUUUGGUUAACCACAUUUUAAAAUGUCUCAAGGCCACUAUUCUUAUUCAUCUAUUUAUUUGUUUCUUGGCUGCAAUACUUCAGUGUUUGUUGAUUGAUUACCAAGUGAUGUUGUAAUGCACCCUUCGGUUCCUUAGGACUUAAGAGAGAUUCUCUGAAGAAGAAAAACGAAUUCAAUGCUUCUUUUUCGAGAAUUAAGGAGACAAUACUCAAUAUGGAUUAUGAAUACACAAUGACUAUUUGUUGUCAUGUGCAUAACUUUGGAGUUUGAUUCCAUUUUCAUGCAUAUUGAAGGAUCCAGGUUUGUAGAUGACACAUCAAAUUGAUCACAUUACAUUGAUGAUUUUUUUUUCUUAUUGUGGCUACCCAGUAUAGAUGGAUCUUUAGGAGGUCUUCUGUAUAAGUUGAGUUUUGCACACAAAUCAACAAUGGAGCUGUAAUGGUGGAGUUGAAGGUAGAGCUCAGCGGCGUGCCGGUGGGAGGAGGAUUGAUUGGAGAGGCCAGGGAAUUCGGACAUUUCCAUAUGUGCUACCCUUUUCUAUCUGGGGUGAUUGGUCCAUCAUGGUAUAUUUGUUUGAAUUUUAGAUGACAUUGGAUCUGACUGUAGGUGAGCUAAGCAAUGUUGAGCCAGAAGUGCAGACUAGGCACUUGUAUCUAUGUAUGACC